rnacentral:rRNA from 1 species
CCUACGGGUGGCAGCAGUGAGGAAUAUUGCGCAAUGGGGGAAACCCUGACGCAGCAACGCCGCGUGAGUGAGGAAGGUUUUCGGACCGUAAAGCUCUGUCGAGCGGGAAGAAGUGCAUGGUGGCUAAUAUCCAUUAUGCUUGACGGUACCGCUAAAGGAAGCACCGGCUAACUCCGUGCCAGCAGCCGCGGUAAUACGGGGGGUGCUAGCGUUGUUCGGAAGCAUGGAGCGUACAGAGCGUGUAGGAUGUGAAAGCCCUGGGCUUAACCUAGGAAGUGCAUUUGAAACUGUUCAGCUUGAGUAAGGGAGAGGAAAGUGGAAUUCCUGGUGUAGAGGUGAAAUGCGUAGAGAUCAGGAGGAACACCGGUGGCGAAGGCGACUUUCUGGCCCUAUACUGACGCUGAGACGCGAGAGCGUGGGUAGCAAACAGGAUUAGAUACCCCAGUAGUC